UUUUGCAUGAGCAGAUAUCACAUUUAUUAGACUAAAUGUAAUGUUUGGCUUUAAAUGUGUACAUAUGUGAUGGUUUUGGCAUCAAACUGAGAGAGGGGAGGAGUUUAACAUCUUAGAUGAUCUUGUUACAUUUGCUAGACUGUCACAAAGCUCAGUCCUGCUGUACUGAACACACACACACACAUAUACAAUGAUACUUCUUUCAGUCAUUCUGCUCUUUGCCUUGGCAUGUGUGAGUUUUGGAGAUGAAAUCACACCAGACCGCAGGGAAGAGUUUGCUGCAGUGUCUUUAACUGUUACAUUAUCCUGCAGUUAUUCCUCUGCUAAUUCACUUCUAUGGUACCGUCAGUCUCCCGGAUCAGCUCCUCAAUUUCUUGUGCUCAUAAUCGAGGGUGUGAAAGAGACUAAGACAUCUGAGGUAGAUCCCAGAUUCUCUACUAAGACUAGAAAAGAAGAAAAGAUCAAACGUGUGGAUCUGGAGAUCUCCUCUGCUGAAGUGUCAGACUCUGCUGUGUAUUACUGUGCUCUGAGGCCCACAGUCACAGGAAACACUAGAACACCGUACAAAAACCUGACACAACAAAAAAAGGCAUAACUAUUAUGCCUUCUGCUAACAGACUGAAGUACAUAAAAGAAAGAAUCACAUUCCCAAAUUGCCAACUCAGACACUGAGAACAAAAGUCUGAUGGAACAUAUCCAAAUGCCCAUGUUUAAAAUUAGACUUAAAUCGUUGUACAAACCCAACAUUACAGUCAUUAAGUCAAAGCUUAAUUUCACAAAUAAACUAUAUUCAUAAGCAGAAUGCAGAUUUUUGAUUUUUAAACUUUGGAGGAAGCUACAUUAAAAAAUAGACCAUA